UACAGAGGGUGCAAGCGUUGUUCGGAAUUAUUUGGGCGUAAAGCGCGUGUAGGCGGCAUUGCAAGUCGGGUGUGAAAGCCCUCAGCUCAACUGAGGAAGUGCGCCCGAAACUGCAGUGCUUGAGUACCGGAGAGGGUGGCGGAAUUCCCCAAGUAGAGGUGAAAUUCGUAAGAUAUGGGGAGGAACACCGGUGGCGAAGGCGGCCACCUGGACGGAUACUGACGCUGAGACCGCGAAAGCGUGGGUAGCAAACAGG
rnacentral:rRNA from 1 species